GAGUUUGAUCCUGGCUCAGAUUGAACGCUGGCGGUAUGCUUAACACAUGCAAGUCGAACGGUAACAGGCCUUCGGGCGCUGACGAGUGGCGGACGGGUGAGUAACGCGUAGGAAUCUGCCUCAUAGUGGGGGACAACGUGGGGAAACUCACGCUAAUACCGCAUACGCCCUACGGGGGAAAGGAGGGGAUCUUCGGACCUUUCGCUAUGAGAUGAGCCUGCGUUAGAUUAGCUAGUUGGUAGGGUAAAGGCCUACCAAGGCGACGAUCUAUAGCUGGUCUGAGAGGACGAUCAGCCACACUGGGACUGAGACACGGCCCAGACUCCUACGGGAGGCAGCAGUGGGGAAUAUUGGACAAUGGGCGAAAGCCUGAUCCAGCAAUACCGCGUGUGUGAAGAAGGCCUUAGGGUUGUAAAGCACUUUCAAUUGGGAGGAAAACCUGCCGGCCAAUACCCGGUAGCUUGACAUUACCUUUAGAAGAAGCACCGGCUAACUCCGUGCCAGCAGCCGCGGUAAUACGGAGGGUGCGAGCGUUAAUCGGAAUUACUGGGCGUAAAGCGUGCGUAGGCGGUUCGUUAAGUCAGAUGUGAAAGCCCUGGGCUCAACCUGGGAACUGCAUUUGAAACUGGCGGACUAGAGUUUAGUAGAGGGGAGUGGAAUUUCAGGUGUAGCGGUGAAAUGCGUAGAUAUCUGAAGGAACACCAGUGGCGAAGGCGACUCCCUGGACUAGAACUGACGCUGAGUACGAAAGCGUGGGUAGCAAACAGGAUUAGAUACCCUGGUAGUCCACGCCGUAAACGAUGUCGACUAGCCGUUGGCCCUAUUUACAGGAUUAGUGGCGCAG
rnacentral:rRNA from 1 species